rnacentral:lncRNA from 1 species
CAGUAACCGGGCCGGGCGCGAUGGAACCCGCGUCUGAGCUGCCGGGGUGAGUGUGAGUGUGAGAGCGAGAACAGCCCGGCAGGUCCCGAGGUGCUAGCUGGGGACUCUGCCGCGGAAAGUUCCCAGUCCCCAGCCGCAGAUCUGCAGGAUUGAAAUGAAAUGUUUUGAGGUCUUCAAGCUGACUCAUCAGAAUAAUCCUGGAACAUUUUUAAAAUGACGGAAAUGAAAGGAAAUGACUUAAAAACAAUUUUAAAUAUAGGAAGAAAUCACCAAGGGAAGAAGAUGAUGGAAUCUUAUUUACUUACUAAAGCAGAAGAGAAAAACAAAACAAAACAAAACAAAAGAAAACCUCAAUAUCUAAGGGACAGCAGAAGCAGGAAGCGCUUCUGGAGCAGAGCUGUCAUCCUUUCCUGGAAGCUGCUGCUCAGUAGCCUGUCUCCACCGAAAUGCUAAUGGUGACAACACAGGCAGAUUCUGGAAGGGGAACUCAAGGAUUCACAGGUAUGUAACUGGACGAGCAGUGGUCGUAGAACAAAUUAUGUCCUCUGUCCAUACAAAAUCUGUAAGUAUAAAAUGCUCACUCUUGUAGUUCUCUGGAUGGUUUUUUCUUGCUAAAAUUUCAUUGUUUGAUUUUAUCAGUAUGCCUGUCUCCCACGCUUGCUUAUUUAUUUGCUUACUAACUACAUACAUUCAUUUACUCACAUAUUAAAAAAAUAUUAAUAUGAAAUGAACUCCUUUAUGUUUGGGACAUUGUGCUAAAUACUUAUAAAGUCCUGGAUAAAAAUGUUUUCGUAUGAAAAGUGGAACUGUGAUAUGGUUAGUCUCAAUACCUAGUUUGAGAAUGACUAGUCCUUUCUGGAUUACAGCUGUAUAUAGGAAAGGGGAAAUGGAUGAUUGUGAAGACAGAUGUACAAAUCUCAUUAGGUUUCGAAGCAGAGACACAAACUGGAUUAAUUCAGUGAGGUGCUACAUAUGUGAUAGUCAUAAUGAUGACAGAGAAAAUGUUACAUGUUGUUGCCUAUAUUCCUCUUAAUAAGACAGAUAUUUUAAUACAUUUCGGAAUUAUUUCAGCACAGUAGUCCUUUAUGUGGAGUUAAUAACAAAUUGCAUUAUUAAUAACAAUUGUUCACAUUGAUAUAUUUAAGUAGUUUGUGAAAUUUUUAAGGUUCUUUUGUAAAUAAAAUUACUUUGUAGGGAUGACUUUAUUUUUAA